rfam:Ethanoligenens harbinense YTAN-3, complete genome.
GGGGGUAUAGCUCAGCUGGGAGAGCGCCUGCAUGGCAUGCAGGAGGUCAGCGGUUCGAUCCCGCUUAUCUCCA